UAAAAACAUUUGCUUCUGGAUCUCCGGCGAACUCCUUCUCCUUACUGACCUCACGUUUCUUCGACCAUUCAAGAAUUGCAUCAGAAUUUCUGCAUUGAUGCUUUGCACAAAAUCUGACUCUCUCUCAAAGAAUACCCCAUUCCAAGUGAUGACUGCGGUAUCAGCGUGGCAAAUGAAAGUCAGCCGAACCAUGUCGAUACAGUGGCCUUUAUAGGGUUAGCCAUACAUAUGCGAUUUCAUGCUGUUGUGACCAUAUUGGCGGAUCAUAUCCCGAGUCAGGGAUGCGAAAUAAUGUCCUUAUAACGUAGAUAUUACAACACUCGUCUUGAUCUACUUUUUGAGAUUUUUUCUAGUUACUGCAAAUAGAUUUACUUAACACCACUUCAUUAGCCUCGUUAUGUUGUAGGUUUUACAAAGGAGCUGGAUGUACAUACUUUACGUACCAUCAUACAGCCCUUU
rnacentral:sRNA from 1 species